rnacentral:rRNA from 1 species
CGCGUAGGCGGCCCUGUAAGUCGGGCGUGAAAUCCCUCGGCUCAACCGAGGAACUGCGUUUGAAACUGCAGGGCUUGAGUCCCGGAGAGGGUAGCGGAAUUCCCAGUGUAGCGGUGAAAUGCGUAGAUAUUGGGAGGAACACCAGUGGCGAAGGCGGCUACCUGGACGGGUACUGACGCUGAGGCGCGAAAGCGUGGGGAGCAAACAGGAUUAGAUACCCUGGUAGUCC